ensembl:lncRNA
CUCGUCCUCGUUUUGAACGUCUCACUCAUGGCUGAUCAGUGUGUUCUUUCUGAUUAGCUCUUAAUUGAGAUCACCUGUCACGCACCCCUAUAUUAAAGGUGAACACCAUGGGUUUGGUUUACUUUUCGCAUCGGCCUGUGUCAAUCGAGGUUGAGUUAGUGAGGGUUGAACGUUUUCGAUCUAGAUUGCAGAUCACUAUUGUCACUUUAUACAAACUGAAAGUAUGCGUUGUUGCGUGUCUGUUUUUGUGGGCAUUUGACUGAACAGCCCAGACAAAUAUCGCAGUGUUAGAUGACUGACGAGAUCUAUGGGGGGGCCCCCUUUGGGCCCCCCCAUACCAACUUAGUCUUCAAAGGAAUCUAGUGCCAUGGGACUCCAGUGUCUUCAAAACAUCCUUGGAAUACAUGUGUAUGAAUGGUCCACCGAAGGGUUGAUCUGGAAGCCACCACGGUCCACGCAGUAAUCUGCUGCGUGGGCCGUAGUGGCUUCCAGAGCCAUCUUUCGGUCUUGGUCAGGAUUUGUUACAGUUGCCCUUCAAUGUAACAGGCUACGGGUUUCUGAAGAAGCCUGCUUUACGUAGCAUUAGAGUACAAAUAUUGUGCAAAAUGCUCAUGUAAUUGCACUAGUAACCUGUAGAUUAGCUUAGUUUAACGUCAUUCCGUGCUGUCUGUCAAAUGUGUGGCUUACUUUAAGUCCACAAGGCCCUCUGGUAAACCACGUUGGAACACCCCUGGACAAGGUGAUUAGUCACUGGGUGUGUGCUAGUUUUGUUCCAUUUUUCACUAGUUGGUUAAGGUUUGGUAGAAUUGUUUGGAUGCUAGCGACGUGAUGGCGUAUGUACAAGAGCCUACCGUGGCGAGGCCACAGUUGCGACGGCCACGGCCAGAUGGCCUAGUGUGAGUGCAACCUUGAUUGCAUUUGUAUACUGUUUACCAUUGGAUGUUUAUGCAAUUUGGCUUAUUUCAUCCGCAGUAAAGCUGCAUUUGACUAUUCCAGGGUCGUUUUGUGCAGGCUUUCAAUUGACCAUGUUGACUAGUUUGUGGGAAGUUUUUUUUUUUUUUUUUACCCUUGCUUACAAUCCAACGGUUGUGACCACUUAUGCAACUGGGCUGUGAACCUUGCAAUUCUAGUUGCAUAUUUGUACACGGAAGCUUGUCCAUUUCUAUCGCCAUCACUAAAACUAGCUUCAGCAUUUCCUUGUAGGCCAUUAGCUGACUUGUGUAUUGGAGCGAUGAUUUGGGUAUUUUAAGAUGCUUGAAAACCUAAAAUAAAGCAAAAUGCAUGUCUGGUGUGCAAGAGCCAAUUUGUUGGCUUGCGGUAGUCGAGGAGUUGCCGUAGGUCGUAAGCCAUCUGGAGGUUGUGGCAAUGGAGGCUUGUGGUAGAUCUGCCAUCCAAGAAAGGUUAAUUCUUCUGAAGCAUGAUUAAUAAGUUUAGUAAAUUGAAUCUAUUCAUAUAGAACUAUAAAAUCCAAGACUGCAGCCAGUAACUUGGAUCGCAAUAUGUGGAAAGUAUUAGUCUUCAUUUGUAACAACAGAAUAAUUAACAUGACUAACUGGGUUUCUUCCAUUUUUCUAACUAGGGGACUUGACUGGUGAGUCUACUGGAUUAAUCAGUAGCAGUACUUUGCCCAACAGAUUUGAUGGCAUGACUACAGGGUGACAAAGACAAUUAUUCCCUGCCUAUCAAAAGACUUCCAAAACAUAUCUGCUAGAACAGUUCCUAUACUUUUUGUAUAAUUUGGUCAUGCUGCAAAUAUACUUUUUGUAGUUGCUCCAUAUUUAGUUCUUUGACAGCCUCACCUGCUAGAAAAGUCUAUUCAAAUCGGCUAAAUAUAAUUAACUAAAUUAAUAGCCAUGAAAUGUUGUCACUCAUACUAAUGGCAAAUACCCUCUUUCAGUUGGUGGUUCAACACUGAUGUCUCUCUAGGCUUGAGGGAGAGCUCACAAGUAAAUUACACGAAUGUCCUGGAGCAAUUGGGAAUACACUUUUAUUUAGUCUACCUGACCAGGGACAUCUUUGAACUAUAGGUCACCUAACCCAAACUUUUCACUCUUGUUAGGUUGUCCUUUUCUCUUGUUUUAACCCGAAAGGGCUGAAAUAUCAGGUAUUCUGUUUGGAUAAUGUGCAAAACUUGUGGCUUCACUAAUAAAAAAAAUUAACAAAUGUAUUUUUCUUAAUGUGGUUAAACCAUUUAAAGAUUUGUAUGCAAAAUAUUUCUGCUCAAUUUGUGGUCAAUGAAACUCUGACAUUUUUUAAUUUGAUAAAACACAACUAUGGGUUAAAGGUAUUUGCUUUGGGCAGCUUUUGAUAUUUUUAGAAUCUAGCUCCAUUGCCGUUAGAAAUGGUGUCUCCCAGUACUGCAAAGUGCUUCCACAAGUUUAAGAGGCAGAAAAGGAACUGCCAACUAAAUCUAUUUAACAUGGGUAGAAAGUUUCCAUGGAAGCUCUUGGCUGCUGGUUCCCAACACAGCUCCACUGUUAGCCUGUGACCUUGCGUUUAACUUUUUUUGACUUUUGGUGACUUUCACAAAAGAGAAAUGAACUGGUUAAUACAAUAAACAAGACAUUUCAUGGUACUAUUUUGAACUGUUUGGAUAUUGCAUUAAAUCCAUAUGGUUGAAACUUUUCAAUAAUGCAUAUCAACAAAACAAUGGAAUGAAAUAAAUAGUUCAAGCAAUUUGUGGGACUUGGCUGCUUUUACAUUAUUACUCAUUGUGGAGGUUAUUUCAGUCUCUCCAACCUGCAGGUCGUGCGAAGAAUCAUG